AUUCCAUCCCAUCCCACACCAUCCCAUCCCAUCCCCCUGGUGCCUCGGGUACAGCGACCGUUCAUCACAACACCUCACCCACACACUGCAGAUCCAACCCGACUGCUGACAGCAUUUUCUAUUCAGAGGUGGUGGCUGUGAACCUCACUAACUUUGGGUUGCAUCCUUGAGAGGUUUCACCUCUGCAUCUUCAACUGGAAAAGUUCAAGAAUAAAACUGGGCAGAGCACUAAAAGGAAUGACCCCCAAAGUCUCCUGUGACUGCCAUCCUGUGUCCUCAGGCAUCUUCCAGGAGGUGGAAAAUCGAGGAACUGUGAGGGCACUGCCGUGGCACAGAAGCUGUCUGGGAGUCACUGCAGCCAAAACCAAACUCAGGCAGCACGGGCUGCAAACCAACACAGGAGGAGCAGAAGAGCCCGGGCAGACCUGCCGCUGUUCCCUUCUGAAGUCACACACUUCUCAUGGCAAAGCACAGCACAAGAUGCUCUGAGAACAAUACUCUGUUCCUUACAGCCUCUUUUUGAGUCUAUCUCCGGAGGAAAAACUCGUGUUUGUUAAAGCCCAACACAUGUGAGAAGCCACGACAAAGCAAAUAAAGCUGCAGAGGUUUAAGUUGCAGGCAGGACUUUACGGUUUAUGGGUCGCAGAGAUCUGUACUUACUCAUCUCCUCUUGUAUUACCAACUGCAAGAGGAAAAUGAUCCUUAAGCUCUUAAGAAGCAAGAGGACAGGGAAAUUGCUGGAGAGAGAAAGGGAGUGCUGAAGUACACGCUCUGUGAAUCAGGCCAGCCUCUCCUUCUAUUCCCUGCAGGAAACCUAAGGG